ACAGUGCGAAGGCCACGAUGCUCAUACCGUACAGGUUGCUUGCCGACCACGUUUGCGAGCGGGCUAAGGUCUGAGUAUUCCAGUCCUCCUUGAUCGACUCUAGCGGAGUCUUGUCAUCAUUGACUGCGCGGCGCACCAGAAACGCAGGCACAUCGGCCUCCAGCUCCGGAUGCAGGAGCUAGAUAUAGUCCCGGAGACUCCUGGCGUGCUGUCCAGGAACAACGUCCGGGAACAACAAGCCGGGACGAGGGAGCUUUAGGCUUUUGGGAUGCGCCGUGGGGACGGGGUGAACAUGUCUGGACUAUCCAGGCGGUUUGCGGUCAGCCUUCUUUUCUCUCCUUCCUGUGUGCUCACUCCUUGAGUGCAUGAAUGACCUCACUUGUGUACUUAUGUAACGGUGAUUUGUUUGGAUGGGAUGGGGCUGAAGAGUAGAUGGUUGAUGCCAACAGUGUUCAUCCUUCAGCUCACUUCGUGGCUCGCAUUCAAGGUACAUCUUCGGGUGUAUCUGCGAAACUCGAUUCAGACUACUCUCGCGCUGU
rnacentral:RNase_P_RNA from 1 species